GGAAUAUUGCACAAUGGGCGAAAGCCUGAUGCAGCGACGCCGCGUGAGUGAAGAAGUCUUUCGGUAUGUAAAGCUCUAUCAUCAGGGAAGAAAAUGACGGUACCUGACUAAGAAGCCCCGGCUAACUACGUGCCAGCAGCCGCGGUAAUACGUAGGGGGCACGCGUUAUCCGGAUUUACUGGGUGUAACGGGAGCGUAGACGGCGAAGCAAGUCUGAAGUGAAAACCCAGGGCUCAACCCUGGGACUGCUUUGGAAACGGUUGUGCUAGAGUGUCGGAGAGGUAAGUGGAAUUCCUAGUGGAGCGGUGAAAUGCGUAGAUAUUAGGAGGAACACCAGUGGCGAAGGCGGCUUACUGGACGAUAACUGACGUUGAGGCUCGAAAGCGUGGGGAGCAAACA
rnacentral:rRNA from 1 species